rnacentral:rRNA from 1 species
AUUGAACGCUGGCGGCAGGCUUAACACAUGCAAGUCGAGCGGGGGAAGGUAGCCUGCUACCGGACCUAGCGGCGGACGGGUGAGUAAUGCUUAGGAAUCUGCCUAUUAGUGGGGGACAACAUCUCGAAAGGGAUGCUAAUACCGCAUACGUCCUACGGGAGAAAGCAGGGGAUCUUCGGACCUUGCGCUAAUAGAUGAGCCUAAGUCGGAUUAGCUAGUUGGUGGGGUAAAGGCCUACCAAGGCGACGAUCUGUAGCGGGUCUGAGAGGAUGAUCCGCCACACUGGGACUGAGACACGGCCCAGACUCCUACGGGAGGCAGCAGUGGGGAAUAGUGGACAAUGGGGGGAACCCUGAUCCAGCCAUGCCGCGUGUGUGAAGAAGGCCUUAUGGUUGUAAAGCACUUUAAGCGAGGAGGAGGCUACUCUAGUUAAUACCUAGGGAUAGUGGACGUUACUCGCAGAAUAAGCACCGGCUAACUCUGUGCCAGCAGCCGCCGUAA